rnacentral:pre_miRNA from 6 species
CCUGUUGCCACAAACCCGUAGAUCCGAACUUGUGGUGAUAGUCCACACAAGCUUGUGUCUAUAGGUAUGUGUCUGUUAGG